rnacentral:piRNA from 1 species
UGACAGAAACACUGUUUAGGACAUUGA